UCUGGCGAGUAAGACCAAUUCAUUAUGAUAUCAAAGCAUUUUUACAACAGAACGCCACAUAUUUGCGACACGUCGUUACUCGUUUCUUACCGUUCUCCAAGUGAGUUUAGCGAAAUUGUAGCGACUUUUGGAAUGAUGUCCCCGCUACGUUCAGCCACCGUUGGCGACGUUGCAUGACAUAAACAAGAGAAAAGUCGCGCGAAAAGCGAUGGUGGCCGCUCCCAGCAUGGACUCCAUGUAUUUAGACAACCUGGAGGAAUUCGUGGUCGAUGAGGGGAAGAUAAUUACCUACAAGUGGCUGAGUCUGACUCUAGGAGUUUCAAGCAAUGUUGCUAAACAAAUGCUCUACCACUUUGUCACAAAUCAACGCAACUCAGACAAAGGUGACAAUCUCAAUGUUACAUAUUUUGUGUCCGGAUUAGAAGCAGGGGAGGAUGGGCUCCCUGAUAUGCAUAAGGUCAUGCUAGUAAGGGAGGAGAAUUUGGCAAGUGCAAAGUCCAAAUUGAAGGAUGUGAAGUCUAUACAUGUCUACAGUGUCCAGAAGACCAAACUACCGGACAUGAGUGUUCUCUAUACCGCAAAUUAUGAUAAAGUCAAGGAAAAUAUUUUGACUAUAAACAAGUACAGUGGUAUUGAGUGUUCAGCUGCCACGAUCCGAUCAUCUUCAGACUUGGAAAAGUUACAGAAACAAAAUGCUUAUCAGGCACCUCCUGAACCACCAACCAAAAUACCGAGCAAAUACAAACCUAACCAGACCAAGACAUCCCCGAAGAAGGAAUCGCCAGGUAACACAAAUAAAGCACCCAGCAAGGGGAACCAGAUUGCUUCCAUGUUUGCCCGUCAGACAAAGAGCAACGAUGAGAAGCAAGAAGGUGCAAAGGAGGCUGAGAAUAAGACCGGAAAGGACACAACAAAGACAACCCCAACUUCUGGAGCCAAGAAAAAGGGUGGAAUAUCUUCUUUCUUCAGCAAGGCACCUCCCACUACAAAGAAAACAGAAUCUACCAAAGCAUCUGAUACAUCACCCACAGACUCCGAAUCCCCUACGAUAAAGUCUGAGGUGGUGUCACCAGUCAAGACAGAUUCUACUGUUUCUUCACCAAUCAAGACUGAAUCCCAAGACUCUGUCAAAGAGGAAGAGUCGGAAAAGAUGGACGUUGACUCGCCUCCCAAGAAAAAGGCAAAGAAGUUACAGUCAAAGAUAAAAACAACAAAAGUCUCACAAAAGAGAGGAAAAAGCAAAAGCACAGACAGUGAGGAACCUGUGCCAAAGAGAAAGCGGAUAAUGCAGCUGAGUGAUUCAGAAUCCAGUAGUGACGAAGAAAAUGAAGGUGAGGAAGAGAGCCCCUUCCCUCCCAGCCCACCUCCUGAACCUGCACGCAUUGAGUCCGACUCUGAGGAAGACAUUCCCCCGACGCCUCAGCCCGCGGCCAAGGUGGACCUGAUGAAAGGUGAAAAGCGAGGAAAGAGGAAGAAGCUUGUUGAUAAGACUUUCAUGGAUGAGGAUGGUUUCUUUGUUACCAAGAAGGAAUACGAAUACGUAAGCGACUCCGGAGAAGAAGACCCCUUGCCUGUGAAGGAAAUCGUCUCCCCUAAAAAGCAAGCAACCCCCCCGCAGUCUGGAAAGAAUGCAUCGCCGAAGAAAGGAGAAAGCAAAGCCGCAGCGUCACCUGUCAAGAAAAAACAAGCCAAUAUCAUGAAUUUCUUCAAAAAGAAGUAGCGGAAAGGCUAGAAAUUGGGUUAUAGGAGGGUAAAGAAUGAUCACUUUUGGGUCUGUUUUCCCGUUUUUGAAGAGAUUUAAUUCCGAAGCAGUUUAGGGCUGCUUGGAUGAAUGAGUCAAUAAAAAAGAUUAUGUAAGUAAAUAAGUAAAAGAUGAGAAGUAUUUCUUAUAUUUAUUCACUUAAUGUUAUAGCUUUAGGUUAUCAGAGAUUGUUACUAUUAUUAUUGUUGUUGUUGUUAUUGCUAUUAUUUUUAUUACUAUUACUAUUAUUAAUAUCAUUAUCAUUAUUAUUAUGAUUAUUAUUAUUAUUAUCUUAAUUAGAAUUUAUAUAAUGAAUAUUAAUUAUUUUUGUUAUUAUUGACAUUGUUGUUAUUAUUAUUAUUAUUAUUAUUAUUAUUAUUAUUAUUAUUAUUAUAAUUAUUACAAUAAUGAUGACUGCUUAUAUUAAGAUAUUAUGAUAUCACAAUUCACUAUUCUGAUAAAGAUGAUGAGUACUUAAAAAGAUAUAUGUAUUUUGUUCUCAUUAUUAUGAUCAUUGUCAUAAGUUGACUUGCAAUAUUGAUCUAGAUUUUGAAUGAUUAAAGUUUCAUAUAUCUUUAUCUCAUAUUUUUUAUUCAUACAGUGAAAGCUGUUGUAAAUAAAAUAUUUGAAAAUUGAUAAUAGGCUCAAGUAUCAUUUUGAAAAUAUGGUUACUAUUCAAGUUUGUGUGACUGAGUUUAUUCUCAUAUAUGAUUUAAAGUCCGUAACAUUAAAGGUAUAAUGCAUUGAGAAAUACAUUUUGUAUAUAACUAUUGUCUUAUGAUAUUACUAUUAAAUUUUUCUUAAAAA
rnacentral:misc_RNA from 1 species